GACGAACGCUGGCGGCGUGCUUAACACAUGCAAGUGGUGCGACGAACCAGGGCUUGCCCUGGGGCAAAGCCGCGAACGGGUGAGUAACACGUGAGUAAUCUGCCCCGAUGACUGGGACAACCCGAGGAAACUCGGGCUAAUACCGGAUGUGGUGCCUUGGCGUAAGCCUUUGCACUAAAGGAAGCUUCGGCCUCCGCAUUGGGAGGAGCUCGCGGCCCAUUAGCUUGUUGGUGGGGUAACGGCCUACCAAGGCGACGAUGGGUAGCUGGUCUGAGAG
rnacentral:rRNA from 1 species